UACGUAGGGGGCAAGCGUUAUCCGGAUUUACUGGGUGUAAAGGGAGCGCAGACGGAUGGAUAAGUCUGAAGUGAAAGCCCGCGGCUCAACUGCGGGACUGCUUUGGAAACUGUGCAUCUUGAGUACGGGAGGGGCAGGCGGAAUUCCUGGUGUAGCGGUGAAAUGCGUAGAUAUCAGGAGGAACACAGGCGGCGAAGGCGGCCUGCUGGACCGAAACUGACGUUGAGGCUCGAAAGCGUGGGGAGCAAACAGG
rnacentral:rRNA from 1 species